rnacentral:rRNA from 1 species
UGAGGGAUAUUGGUCAAUGGGCGCAAGCCUGAACCAGCGACGCCGCGUGGGUGAAGAAGGUCUUCGGAUCGUAAAGCCCUUUUCCCACUGAAGAGGAAGGACGGUAGGUGGGGAAGAAGUCUCGGCUAACUACGUGCCAGCAGCCGCGGUAAAACGUAGGAGACAAGCGUUAUCCGGAGUUACUGGGCGUAAAGGGCGUGCAGGUGGCGUCUUAAGUCUGUUGUGAAAGCGCCUGGCUUAACCGGGCGAGGCCAAUGGAGACUGAGAGGCUGGAGGACGGCGGAGGGGUGUGGAAUUCCGGGUGGAGUGGUGAAAUGCGUAGAGAUCCGGAGGAACACCAGAGGCGAAGGCGGCACUCUAAGCCGUACCUGACACUGAGACGCGACAGCACGGGGAGCAAACG